rnacentral:lncRNA from 1 species
AUGGGGUCCCCGGGAGCUGAGGCUCCCCGCACGGCGUGGCCGAGCCCCAUGGAGCAGAACGGGGUGAGCGGGGGGCUGGCGGGCGGAGGGUCCGGGCACUGCUGGGUGCCGGCAGCCGGGCUCCGGUCCUGCCCGAGGGAGCCGGGGCUGCGGCCUGAGCCCGGUCCCGUUAUCCGAGGGGGUCCCGAGGGGCCGGUUAAGGCAGGGGGGGCACGGCUCGGUGCCCACCCGCAGCGCUGCGCUGCCCCGGUCGAGGCCCCGGGAGCCUCGGGGCCCCCAGCCCGGCUCCCCCCGGUGCCGCCCGCAGCGCCCUGCGGCUCCGGUAACCGGGCGGUGCCUGCCGGGGAGCCGGGCACCGGGGGGGGAACCGGGGGGGGCACGGGGGCUGCCCGGAGGAGCGGGGGGGGCCGGGGGGGGGGGGGGGGCGGGGGGCGCGGGGGGGGGGGGGGGGGGGGGGGGGGGGCUCCGCCCGCAGCUCCCGGUCGGGGGCGGGGCCCGGUGGCGGCGGCGAUGACGUCAGGGGGCGGGGCCGGGGCGGGGCGCGCGGCCAUUUGCAGGCACCGGCGGGGGGGCGCCGCCGGCAGCUCCGGGCGGCUCCGCUCCCCCCGCUCCGCUCCGCUCCGCUCCCCUUCCCCGGCUCCUCUCUCCUCUGUCCGCUCCUGUCCUGUCCUCCCGCCCCGUUCCGUUCCGUUCCGUUCCGCAAUGAUGAGGCAGGCCCCGGCCGCACGGAAGGUACAGCCGCUCUCGUGCCUCCCCCCGGUACCGGCGUCGGGGCCCGCUGCGGGCGGGGGGGGGCGCGGGGCGAGGCGGCGGCACCGGGCUCACGGCCUCAUCCCCCCCCCACCCCUCCCCUCCUCCUCCCGGUGCUGCAUCCCGGCCCGACCCGACCCCACCGGGAGCUCCGCGCCCCGCUCCGUGCCCGCGGGGACGGCCCCGGGCAGCACCGGGAGCCACGGAGCGAAGGCGGCGGCCGUGCCGUGCUGUGCUGUACCGUGCCGUGCCGGGCACUGCGGUCUCACCGCCCUACAGCCGGGGUCCGGCUCUCCCGGUGCCCCCCCAGCGGUGCCCGGUGCCUCCCGGUGCCCGUACAGCUCCCGCCGAGGCUCCGGGUGUCCCCGCGGCAGGGCUCAGCCCCUCUCCCCCGGCCUCUCCCCCAGCUUCGGGAGGUGUCGCUUUGGUUCGCUUCGGUCUCGGUUUUCCUCCUGCUUUGCCUUGGGUGCCGCAGGCAUUCGGUGCCCGAGGCGUUGCCGGCUGCUCCCGUGUGCUGAAAUCCCGAGCAGAACGCCCCCGGCAGCACCGGGACCCCGGGGCGAGCCACCGGGAUGGAGCUCGGUGAUGGGGCAGCACCAACAGGUGGGAUCUGACCCAGCACUCCCAGGAAGGGCUCGGCUCCUCCAUCACCGGGUGAUCACCGGGAAGGGAGCGCUGCCAGCAGCAGGAGCCAUGCACUGA